CUUGACCACAUCUCAUCGAAAAGAGCAAGAUAAGGUUUGAAAUAGUUGUUUGACUCUUCUCUCCUUCUUUCUUAACCUUUGCAGCCAUGAUUUACUUAUUGAUUUUUUAGGAUAAAUCGGACCUGAAAUCCUCUAUUUCACUGUCCUUUCCAUGGAUUUUUCUUUGAAUUUUUUUGACAACUGUAGCUGUUGUCGGCUACUGGUUGAGCGACUCUCGACUGCGCC
rnacentral:lncRNA from 1 species